rnacentral:rRNA from 1 species
UACGGGGGAGCAAGCGUUGUUCGGAUUUACUGGCGUAAAGGGCGCGUAGGCGGUCAGCACAAGUCAGUUGGUGAAAUCUCCGAGCUUAACUCGGAAAGGUCAACUGAUACUGUGCGACUAGAGUGGCGGAAAGGGGCAACUGGAAUUCUUGGUGUAAGCGGUGAAAUGCGUAGGAUAUCAAGAGGAGCACCGUGCGGACGGAA